rnacentral:tRNA from 1 species
GGAAGCGUGGCAGAGCGGUUGAAUGCACCUGACUUGAAAUCAGGCGGGCCCGCAAGGGUCUCCGGGGUUCGAAUCCCUGCGCUUCCGCCA